rnacentral:rRNA from 1 species
UAAAAAAUUUGGCGGUAUUUUAGUCUAUUCAGAGGAACCUGUUCUGUAAUCGAUAAUCCACGAUGGACCUUACUUAAAUUUGUUUAGUUUAUAUACCGUCGUUAUUAGAAUAUUUUAUAAGAAUGUUAAUUUUCAUAAUUUUAAAAAAGAAAAUAUAUCAGAUCAAGGUGUAGCUUAUAUUUAAGUAGAAAUGGGUUACAAUAAAUUUAUUUAUACGAAUAUAAAUUUGAAAUAUUUAUUAAAGGUGGAUUUGAUAGUAAAAUUAUAUAGAUUAAUAAUUUGAUUUUAGCUCUAAAAUAUGUACACAUCGCCCGUCACUCUUAUUAUUAAGAUAAGAUAAGUCGUAACAUAGUAGAUGUACUGGAAAGUGUAUCUAGAAUGCAAUUUAAAGCUUAUUAAGUAAAGUAUUUCAUUUACAUUGAAAAGAUUUUUGUGCAAAUCAAUAUAAAUUGAAUAAAUUUUAUUUAUUAAUUUUUUUUUAUUUAAAAAUAUUUUAUUAAAAAUAAUUAUAUAAAGAGUUAGUUUUAGUAUUUUAUAAAGAAAAAAUAAGAUUUAUUAUAGUUUAGUAGUAUUGAAAAAGAAAAUUGAAAUAAUUUGAAAAA